AGCCCGGCAGACACCUUGGGAGCGAGGAGGGUAUUUUGGGGAGUUGCAGUGUUGUGCGGAAGAUCAUGUCUGUGCCCUGUGGUGCUGUCAGCGGUGACAGAUCCCAGAUGCAGCCGCUACUGUAUGGCAGAUUGAGUUUCUCAGCAGAAAACUCUCUCCCUCCCUCCCAAACGUCUUCAAAAACCUUCUCCAGAUACAGCGGGUCACUUCGGCUCAAAAGGGGAGAGAAAGGGGGGGGAGGAAAAAAGGCUUUCCCUCUCCCUCCUCCCUCUCUCUUCCUCCCGCCGGAUUUCUCGAGGGUGCGGGGGGGCCCAUAACAGGGCCCUUCCCCACCGGGGGGGCCCAGGCCUCCCCUCUCGCCCCCGGCCCGCUGCGAGCACGCCGCCGAGCACGGGGAGCCUCGUCCAGGAGGAGCCUGCCUUUUUACCUCGGGGUUCCUGGGAACCGCUGGGCAAAGCAGCCGCCGUGGCCGCUCCCUCCCUGCCCCACGGAUGGGAGCGAAGCCGCCGCCGGUCCGUCGCCCCGCCGCUGCCCCACGGACCCGGUCGGGCCGCGGCCCCGUGAGUACUCGAGGAGGAUUCGGAUUUAUUUUCUUCCCAGAGGAGCGUUUUUCUCUUUGUGCCUUCUGCCCGUGCCAGGACCACAAGUGGAUCAAGCGAGUCCUGCACUGUCGUAUUUACUGUAUAGCAAAACUCCCUUCGAGGACGAUUCUGCAGAUCUAAGGACUGAGGAGUCAGGACUGGGAACUAAGGAAAGGACAUGAAUAAUUUCUUUCACAGUUGGUUUAGAAAAAGCCAGCUUCUUUCUAUAGUUGUGCCAAAACUAAGAGGAGAUGGUCUGAGGUUAACAAACAUGAGAUAAUUUUCAUACCAAAUGUGAAAAAUGAGAAAUUGCUUUAACAUACAGUAACUUGCCAUUAAAAUAUGAUACGUGCUCCCUUCCAGAUUUAAAAUGAGACUUUAUAAACUCUACUGUCUUUGAUUUGUUAAGGCAACUUUAUAUUUAUUUCUUAAUUCAUAAGUAUGUGAGCAAACAUAAUAAAACUCUUGAUGUUUUUAUGAUCUUGAUUAGUGCUUCAUUGUAUAAGUAUUUGGUUAUUUAAGCAUACACCAAAUAUUGCACUGUAAAAUCUGUUGUGACUUAUUCAGUAACUUUUGGAAUUAGAAGAAAAAAGAUGACAGGAUUGCAAAAAUGGUAUUAAUUUUAUUUUAUUUCAUUUAAUAAAAAACUCAGUUGGCUGCACAGUCCUUUGCUUUAUAUUCUUAAUUAUUGUGUAUAUAUUUGAAGAAAAGUAUCUGUUGCAUAUCAUCUAUCUAAUGGUAAAAACUGAUGCUGUUAUUAAUAAGUUACUGAGAAAAAUAAACCUGCUUGCACUUUGAUUUCUAUCACUCCUGGUGAGUGAUUCUUCUGGAAUAAACAUAGCUCUAACACAUGUAAACAAUGCAGGAAAUUAAUAACAAAAUUCUUUGGAUUUAUUUCAGAUGCCACAUACUUUUUGUAAAUAUAUGCGGCUUUCAAUGAUUUUCCAGUAAGUAAUAAACUUUGCUC